rnacentral:rRNA from 1 species
AUUGAACGCUGGCGGAAUGCUUUACACAUGCAAGUCGAGCGGCAGCGCGGGGCAACCUGGCGGCGAGCGGCGAACGGGUGAGUAAUACAUCGGAACGUGCCCAGACGUGGGGGAUAACUACUCGAAAGAGUGGCUAAUACCGCAUACGAUCUGAGGAUGAAAGCGGGGGAUCGCAAGACCUCGCGCGUCUGGAGCGGCCGAUGGCAGAUUAGGUAGUUGGUGAGGUAAAGGCUUACCAAGCCUGCGAUCUGUAGCUGGUCUGAGAGGAUGAUCGGCCACACGGGGACUGAGACACGGCCCAGACUCCUACGGGAGGCAGCAGUGGGGAAUUUUGGACAAUGGGCGAAAGCCUGAUCCAGCCAUUCCGCGUGCAGGAUGAAGGCCCGCGGGUUGUAAACUGCUUUUGUACGGAACGAAAAAGCUCCGGCUAAUACCUGGAGUCCAUGACGGUACCGUAAGAAUAAGCACCGGCUAACUACGUGCCAGCCGCCGCAGUAA